GGGCCAGUAGCUCAGUUGGCAGAGCACCGGACUUUUAAUCCGGGUGUCGCAGGUUCGAGACCUGCCUGGCCCA
rnacentral:tRNA from 1 species